UUUCGUUGGAAACGGAGAAACGAUUCUUUGAUAUUCCUGAUCAGUAUGAUUCAUUCCCGGCCUUACACGGAUAGCUAGUCCACCUAGUUCACAUUUGAUAUUGUGGCACACUACAUGGAUGCCGUUUUCUGGACAACGGCUUAGGUAAUUGUUCGUUUCCUUGACCACCCUUGAAACAACUUGGGGAAGACAGAGGACUGGGCUGUUGUGAACCAUUCUCAGAGAUGUCAUGUGGGGUUUGAACCACAUUGCCAUUGCUGGAGUCCUGUCCCUCUGAGCUGUCCAACGCUUAUGACCUCACUCAGCUCUCAGCUACGAAAAGGAGGUCACCUGAACCUCGCAGGGAGUGGGAGUGUGACUUCAUGAAAUGUUCCCCAACCAAAACAGUCACUCUUCUUCAGAUCGAUCAGUUUCUGAGCUAUUUAUCGAAGACAUGGGGAAGGGACACCUGAUACACUGAGCUAACUGCAGUGUCUCUUCGGAUUUCUGUGAUUUAAGAAUAGAACAGUCCUGAUUCCUGUGGGCAGUGAUACCCAGAGAGCUAAGAAUAAGGUAGGACUUGCCUUAUUUUUAACUGACUGUGGUCUUGAACUAGUUUGUCUUGAUUAACAAACUUGUCAGUUUUAUUGAGGAGCACCCAUCAGCUGCUGAUUCCUUUUUGCACGAUUCUUGAUUAUGUUGUAACUUUCACCCUUCACAAUGAUUCAUUUUUGUAUUGGCAAGAUCUUGUUUCAUACAAUGUUUUCAUUUAGCCUGUAGCAAUGACAUUCUAUCAGUUUUUAUACCAAAAAAAAUUUUCAUAAUAAUAACCUGUUAAAUUUAGCAUGAAGUACAAAAGCAGAGCAACUACAUUUGAUGCAAUGAGGUAAAAAGGAAUCAGCUGUUGAUGGAUGAGCCUUCUUUAAAUCAACAUACUUAUUACUUGUGCAGCACCUUGCCAAAACAGGUUCAAUUUAAACAUCAAAUAAAGAUAGUUCUCUGUCUGUCCUAUUUGUGUUUUACCAUAUGUUGCAAGUUAUUACAGAUACAGAACCAAAUAAUCCACAGCAACCACAAAGGAUGGAUUUCCUGUUUUUGCUUUAGAGAAAUCCUAAUCCUAACCCAAUGUAUGCACACUUACACCACACACAAAUAUGAACAGAUUGUCGGCUCUCAGCCGUUUCGCUUCUCUAGCACAAACUGCACAAAUGUGAU